GGGGGGGGGGGGGGGGGGGAACACAAUUCCUUCAGGCAGCAGGUCAAAUAAAAUAUUCUUUAAUAUAGUUUUGCAUUCCGAUGUAUUUUAUCUGAUAGCUACAUGUACUCCUGUUGGCAUGAGACUGGUCCUCUGGUUCGGACCACCCCUCGUUGUUGUUAUGGAGAUUCAUUCAGUCUUUUUACUUCCCAAGUGGGAUUUAUAGGAAGUGGGUUGAACAGGGAAGUGCGUUAUGAUAAAGGGAAUACACACACACAAACACACCACACACACUUCAGCACAAACACACCACACACACUUCAUGCUUUCCUAUGCUACCUACUGCCAGAAGACCAACAACAUCAAUGUUUUUUAAACAUUCCCCCUGAAAACGUUUUUCUCUUUGCUGCUGCUGGUAUUUACCCGUUGUGAAAGAGUUCUUUGGCUCCAAACUUCACAAUCUUCACAAUCUUAAGCAGUCAUUUACUUCAGGGAGAAUUACGUCAUUUCGGACAACCCUGCAUACCUCCUCUGGAGUUUGGGACAAAAUCUUUUGUUACCUCCAAAACAUCUAGUCAAAACAUCUCAUAAAACCAUUUAAAUUAUGAAACAUAUCUGUUUUUAACAGGGCAGUUUUAGGUUCUAUCUUACUGUUAUGUAAUUGCUCCAACACUAGUGUUUUUUCCUCCUCAGAAACCCUCAAAAGUUCCCCAGACAACAGCCUCUUUACUGGGCCCCGUUCAGCUCGCCAUGUGACUCUGUUUUGGGGAGGAGUGGUGUGUAUGCCUGUGUCUCUGUGUGUGUGUGUUUGUGUGUGUCUCUGUGGUUGUGCAUGUGUGUGUGCUGCGGUAUUCUCUCUCAUAUCCCUAUCUGUGAAAUGGAACUAUCUGUGCCUUUAAGAGGUGUGCGUGUUAGUGAGUGUGACCGCCUGUGUCCAUGUGUGUAUCUGUGUGUGUGUGUGUGUGUGUGUGUGUGUGUGUGUGUGUGCGCGCCUGCAUGGGUAUUUCUCAAGCACAUGAGGGGAGUGGCGAUGCUAGUGGUGGGUCCAGAAUGAAAUCUAUUGCUUUAAGGGUGGGAGGGGUGGUGGUGGUGGGUGGGGGUACAGUAGGAGUGAGUUGAGAGUUUCAGGGAGGCUGGUAGAGAGACAGAGACAGAGACACAGAGAGAGAGACACAGAGAGAGAGAGACAGAGAGAGAGUGAGACAGAUAGGCCGAGUUCAGUUGAGUCCAGAGCAGCCUGGGAUUAAAAAGCCUAGCAGCCAUCACACAAAGCUGAGGGAGCAGGAACACACAAACUAGUUCUAAGGAGAGAAGACAGUGUUUGAGGUGUGAGAGUGUGUGCAUGUGUGUGUGUAACCUGGAGCAGAGAGAGAGAGAGAGUGACAGCAUGCUCGCCCAAGGCCAGAGACUGCAGGAGGAGCAGGACUAUGUGCAGGCCUACGAGAACGUCAGGGAGAAGUAUAAAGGUAAGGCUUCCCGUCUGGGUGUUUCAGUUGUGUGUGGGGAGGGAGGCGGUGUCAUGCACACCUGGUGAACAGGCAAGUCCCGAUGGUAACCUGAACUCAACAACAACAACAAUACCUCUUGGUGUUGACAUGCCGCUACAGCAUUGGGCGGGAGGACUUCUCGUGUCCUCUGUGAUAGCUCACUUGUGUGUGUGUGUGUGUGUGCGCGUGUGUGUGUGUGUGUGUGUGUGUAACUGAAGAUAUUUCUUCGAGUCAUACUUCAACGUCAUCUCACAUACUCACGCCUUUUCUCACGCUGAGAGAGCCUCGUAAAACCACGAGACUGCGCCUCUCUUACAGACGUACUGAACCAGGGAACUCUCAGGGUAUGUUUGAUUUGAGUUCUGGCCGUCCUGUCCAAAAAACAUCCACUAUUCCACUCUUUCCUCUUUCUGCUGAGGUUUGACUUUGGGCUGUAAUUGUGAGUUGGAUCUCCCUGCUGUACCACGGCCAGAACGAGCCUGCAUGGGAGGUCUGCCAGGAGAGAGGGCCCUCACACACACACACACACACAUACUCACGCACAUACACACACACAUACUCACACACACACACACACACACACACACACACACACACACACACACACACACACACACACACACACACACACACACACACACACACACACACACACAUACACACAUACACACACACUCAAACACACUCACACAGACCCGCACACAGGCAGGCACGUACACACACGUACACACACGUACACACACACACACACAAACACACACGAUAGCACGCAACACACAAACACACACAAUCAAAGACACAGACACACACACACACACACAGUCACACACACAAACCCCACAGUAGCCAGCGAGGCGCCUUGGUCCGCUGUACCCCCCCCCCCCAGGAUGGUGAGGGUGACUCACCAUACCCAUGGUGGAUGUGAAGAAAGACGAGGCUUUUCACUGAAUACUGCGUGUGUGUUUGUUAGUGUGUAUAAUGGGCAUGAUAGUCUAGAGGCCUGGGGGGGUUUAACUUCUUGCCAAAAGCUUGUCUGGGUUCGAGUCCCAAAUGUGCGCAGCAUACUGUAUCAUCCUCGAGUAGAUGACCUGUGAGCCCUACCUGUUCAUUUGUUUAUCUGGCUUCACUACACCAGCUUCGGAUAAGAGAAUCUGCUUAAUGACUUAAUUAUAAGUCAAUUAUAAGUCGUGUGCCCGUUUGUGUGUUUGUGUGCGUGUGCGUGUGCGUGUGUGUGUGUGUGUGUGUGUGUGUGUGUGUGUGUGUGUGUGUGUGUGUGUGUGUGUGUGUGUGUGUGUGUGUGUGUGUGUGUGUGUGUGUGUGUGUGUGUGUGUGUGUGCUAGUGAUAGAAUAAAGGAACAAUGUGCCAGUGAAGGGGUCCUUUAAAGCGAAGCCCUGAAACGGUCACCGCGGGGAUUAAGAGGAGAGCAGAGUGUUGUAUAUGACCUCGCUAAUGGGUCCUACUCUCACACACACACACACACACACACUUACAUGCACACGCACUUACACACAGUAACACACAGUUACAUGCAUGGCACACACAAACACACAUACACACACACACACAUGUACACACAUGUACACACAUCACCCCACUACCACAAACACACACAUAUACACUCACACGUACACACACUUCCUCAAGGUUAGCAACUGCCAUUAAACCACGGUGGAUUUAUCGGUUCAGGCUGGGACAUUUUAUGAAUAUUGAGUGAUGAGUUCUGAGCAGGGUCAUUAUCGUUGCUCCGCCCAGAACAAUCCCUCUCCUGGACGCGAUGAAGCGAUCCGGCAGUUAAGGUUGGCACGUUGGCCUUUCAAACGGAAGCUGUUUGCAGGAGUCACUUUGAUGGACUGCAAAUCAGUGUGUGGACCACACAGCCUGUCCCCCCCCCGCCCCGUGACCCCGCCCCCGGCGCUGGGGCCCUCCGACCCUCCCGUCGUAUAUAUCUCCUCUCCCAGUGUGCUCCUGUCCUCCCACGACCCAGCACGGCAGUCUGGGAGGGGGCUGAGGGGAGAGGGACGGGAUGUAACUCAUGCUGCUGUUUCACAGCAGGAAGACUGAAGACAAAGGGGCUGCUUCUACUGGUCUGAUCCCCGCUGCCAAGUAUUGAACCGCUGGGCGUAAAGCUCUCCCAUAGCCGCCCAUAAAACAACUACACUUGUGAAUAAAGCACUCCAAUCUUGGGGAAAGAGUUUGUCAGGGAGAUUAUUAUAGGAAAGAGGGGAAAUAAGCGGGGUGUGUGUGUGUGUGUGUGUGUGUGUGUGUGUGUGUGUGUGUGUGUGUGUGUGUGUGUGUGUGUGUGUGUGUGUGAGUGAGAGUGAGAGUGAGCGUGAGCGUGAGUGUGAGUGUGUGUGUGUGUGGAGUUAUUGGUUGUGUUUGUGGUAGUGGGGUGAUUGUGUGUCUGUGUAUGACUGUGUGUGGGUGGUAGUCGGGUUAUUGUUCGUAUGUGUGGUAACGGGGUGAUUGUGUGUGCGUGCAUGUGUGUGGUAGUGAAGUGAUUCUGUGUGUCUGGUAGUGGGAUGUAUGUGUGUGUGUGUGGAGCAGUGGAGUGAUGUGUGUGUGGGGAGUAGUGGGGUGAUUGUGCGUGUGUGUUGGUAUUGGGGUUAUUGUGUGUGUUUGUGGUAGUGGGGUGAUGUGUGUGUGUGUGUGUGUGUGUGUGUGUGUGUGUGUGUGUGUGUGUGUGUGUGUGUGUGUGUGUGUGUCUCACCCCCUGGUCUUACCCCUCCUGUCUCACCCCUCUGCUCUCACCCCUCCUUUCUCACCCCUCUGGUCUCACCCCUCUACUCUCUCACCCCUCUGCUCUCACCACUCUGGUCUCACCCCUCCUGUCUCACCCCUCUGCUCUCUCACCCCUCUGCUCUCACCCCUCCUCUCUCACCACUCUGGUCUCACCCUUCCUGUCUCACCCCUCCGGUCUCACCCCUCCUGUCUCACCCCUCUGCUCUCUCCCCCCUCCGGUCUCCCCCCUCUGGCCCCUGGCUAUAUGUACUCAUACUUUAGGGAUGUUUCAGGACGGUUAACAGGAAAUCGGUUACAAUCCUUAUCACCACAACGCCCUGGUGGUGGUUAUGAGUCAUCUGAGAGGGCAGUCACAUGGACACACACACACACACACACACACACACACACACACACACACACACACACACACACACACACACACACACACACACACACACACACACACACACACAUAUGCACAUGCACAUUCACACACACACACACACACCUGCCCAAACACAUGCACAUUCACACAAACACGCACACCUGCACACACACACACACACACACACACACACACACACACACACACACACACACACACACACACACACACACACACACACACACACACACACGUACCCACACAGAUAGGCAGGCAUACUUACCCACAAUAUCAGAUGUCUUCCUCUUGGGUUGCCAGGGCAUACUUCCUCUUGGAAAAACACAUGAUGCACUUAUCAAAUGAUCUCUAAAUCCUUUCACAAUAAUAGCGUGUCUGGAUCUUCUUGCCCAAUGGCGCUUCUCUGGCCCCAAAUUGCAUUCCCCUCACAGCCACUUCUCUGCCAAAUAUCACCCAUCAGAAUCAGCGUUAUGAUGGAGUUCGCUUUUAAAGCGACAUAAAAGUAAAUGUUGUGGUUGAGCUGCUCUGUGCCCUCCAACUUGGCUCUCGGGGGCGUUGGUGUAUAGAUUUCUGCCUCCAUCAGCUAGUGUGCCAUUGUCCGCCAUCUUGGCUUUGUGGGGCGUGGUCAAGAGCUGAGCCAGUGUGCCACCGUCGGCCAUCUUGGCUCUGUGGGGCGUUGGCAUAAUUAGUUUGCUGCUGUCCGCCAUCUUGUUAUAGAUCUUUUACCCAAAGCCUCCAUUAGGCAAUGCCGCUCUCCGACAUUUUGUUACGCUUCAAGGCCUUUAUGCUUAGAUGGAGUUAGGAAUGAAGUUUUUAUCUUGUCUACAAAUUGUUGUUUAUUAAAAAAAAGCCAGCAAAACAUUUAAUACAUUUAAGUUGAUUCGAUUGAAGUUCAUGUUUUGGGUUGCAUACAUGUGGUGGUGAUAAUGUCGAUACGGUCGAUAAAAAAGAUGGAUUGAAGCAUCUUUAUUUUAUUAGCUGGUUGAAGCCUUAGUUGUGCAUGCAUGUUCAUGGACCUUUGUGUGUGUGUGUGUGUGUGUGUGUGUGUGUGUGUGUGUGUGUGUGUGUGUGUGUGUGUGUGUGUGUGUGAGUGUGAGUGUGAGUGUGUGUACAUGUGUUCAUAUUGAGUUUUACAUGCGGUACAUGGGCAUAUCCCCUGCAGCUCUGUCCCCGCUGGCAGGCGUCCAGACAGUUAAAUACAGGGCAGGAUCUUUCCUACGGCCUGGAAUACACCCACACACACACACACCCACACACACACUCACACUCACACACACACUCACACUCACAGACACACUCACACACACACUCACACACACACACACUUCCCUUGCUGUGAAGCAGGAGGCUGGAAUGUUGAGAUGAAGAUUUAGGGGCUCUUUUGAUCCGCUGAGAACACUGUUGACUGCGUGGGUUUCAGUCGGAUUCCGUUAACCACCCCAUUCGCUAGUUCCUCUGCAACAAUGCCAGAGGCAAUGAGGGCGGUCAUUUGAGGUUGUCCUGAGCCCUUAUCUUAUUUGUGUUGGUCUGAGUAAGGCUAGCCAGGUGUGAUUGAUAAUAAUAAUACCACUACGUUUUAUAUGCACGCCUACACAGAAAUGUAGCUGUUACUUUUAUAGUGUGUCAGAGGUAAGACUCCUCUUGCACACUGGAAGAGGCUGCUACUACUACAUUAUGUAGUAUUAUUAGCAUUGUGUUAUUGUAACCACAUAACAUACAAAGGUGUAUCAGAGACUAGUGUCUGAAGUCUCCGCUCUGUGUGUUUGUUUCAUGGUUAUUCUCAAACCACAUUGAAAAGAUGUUGCUUCUGAUUACCAACAUUAUUACAUUUAUAGGCAUAUCUUUGUCCUUGCAUAGACCUUCUGCAUCCUACCACCAAAGAAACAGAUUCACGUUUGAUUAUCAUAUAAAUGGCGGCAGGUGGUUUUGUGUGCAGGGACUACACACCUGAGCAGGUGUGGUUGGGUGGUGAUGAUUUUGUUUGGCAGGGGGGCUUUGGCCAGUUUGGGCGGGGCAGGGCUGGGUUGUAUACAGUGGGGAGUAACUGACUCUGUUUACCCACCGGGAACUAUAUCUGCAAGUGUGGAAACACCAGGAAUCAUUCAUCAUGUGCAGGAACCCAACCCUUUCUUUGGCGCUCGAAGAGACAAAAACUCCUACUUGUGUCUCACUUGGUGGAUUGACUCGAUGAAACCCACCAUGACAUUCCUACCCACCCUUCUCCUGCUUGGUGACUGGUCGGGAAACAGCUCCGUUUCAUACACAGGACUCAAUGGGCGUGGCCCACAACAAGAGCCUCACAUGAACCCUACCUUGGCACUAACAACGGUUCCAACAUGUGCUUCUCAUCCUGGGAGACGUUGUGAAGAGAUACCGACCGUAACUCAAGUGUGGGCGCUGCCUUGGAUCUCCUAGCCUCCCGGUUUCCAAAUGUUCUCCUUCAUUUGCCCGAAAGUCAGCCAAAUGUUAUGAAACUUGAAGAAUGCAUCGUCUGGCGUGUAUUAGCGCGGGCGUUUGGCGGCGGUUGGCCGUGUCUACUGUGGUUUGGCAGUUUGAGUACCACCAGGCACAUUUUGUUUUUGUUUUUUUGGGGAAGAAGUGAUGGGGUUGACGGUUGAUUUGUCAGUAUUCCAGUUAGUGUGGUUGUAACUGUUUAAAGUGUAAGGUAAACACAGUUCAUUGCCUGGAAAGAACCAAUACCUAACUCUGGCUCAACUGAAAGAGCGAUGGAUGCAGUAUGCGGGCCCUAGGUGGCAUAGUUGACCCACGAUAAACCACACUAUGUGCAAUAAAAUCAAACUGCUUGCAGAUGAGAUGAAGGCUCAAGAAAAGAAAAUGCUCAUGGUCUUUGUAGUCUUGGAAUCUUGCAGAUCUUUGGUUCAAAAAGAUGAGUCACAACUUUGUUUACCUCAAACCAAAAUAAUUGUGCUGACCGCUCCCGGCCUAGUUGUUCUCACAAGGUCAACCCGUGCAGAGUGUUUAUACAGAACCACUGUCAGAGGCCCGGAGGGAGGUUGGAGAGAACCAUGUAGUUUAACAGUGUUAUAUAUAGCGUCAUAUAUAGUGUGGAAAUGUAUUCUUCAGGGAAGAACCAUAUUUAUUUAACCAAACAUAGAUAUAAAUAUAGAGGUGCAUAUUUCACACAUGAGUCACUGAAACAUCCUCAGAAGAGUUGUAAAAAUGACAUUAUUUUUGCAGAACUGCUCUAAAUAUGUGACCUUUACAUUCAUUCUUAUUUUUCAUUUACCAUAUACAGCUACACCUAAAGCGCCACAUUAAGCCCAAUUAUAUUUAUUUUUAUUCUUUAAAAUAUAUAUAUACUAUUGAUCACAUCAUCAGGCGACAUAUAAUGUCUAGAAGGCUUGACACAGCAGUAUGAGGAGAAUGACUUACUGCGUCAUCUUUAUCGUAGCAAUGAGUAGUGACCUGUCAUCUAUUUAUGUCCCCUGGACCACAUGGUCCUGCUCAUCUCGGCCUAAUGGGCCUCAGGGUCCCCUGACGGGUCCCUGGGGAGCCUUGUUGGCCUGUUGGAGGGACGCAGGCCGGAACUCUGAGGGGACCCCCGGGGGCUCUGUCAUCCUCCUCCUCUUUUGCAUCCACUGGUCUGCACGCCUCGCUUCACUGAACCGCUACAGAGCUCCUCUGUCUGUCUGUCUGUGUCUGUCUGUCUGUCUGUCUGUCUGUCUGUCUGUCUGUCUGUCUGUCUGUCCCUCUCCCUCUCUCUCCCUCCUCCCCCCCCUC
ensembl:lncRNA